AGCCCACGGCCGGGAUCGAGCCGGCAAUCUUCUGAUUAGAAGUCAGACGCCUCAUCCAUUAGGCCACGCGGGC
rnacentral:tRNA from 1 species